UUCUUUCUCUCUUUCUUUUUUUCAUUUGCUUUUCUGGUUUCCUUUUUCUAUGAGCACUUUUCUGUGAUUAUUGCCUCCAUGGAAAGCAGACAUUUGUAUCAAUUAACCUGAGGAGAAUGUAGAAAAUACGAAAUGCCAUGAAGCCUAUAUUCAAGGACUUCCAGGGGAAUCUAGAAGAUCAAUUGCCAGGACAAGGUUCCUACCUGCUGGUCAUGCCAUGAGGCUCAGGAGAAGGCUGACAUUUUUGAGGAAACUCUAACUAGUGUGAUAACCUCUAACCAGUGUGAUGGAUCAAGAUAUCUGCAGAAGGAACUAGGCUCAUAGUAACUCCUCCUGAUAAAAAUCCUGAUGAAGACACUUCCCCCAAGCCCACAAUUUUUCUUCCUUCAAUUGCUGAAGUAAACCUCCAUAAGGCUGGAACAUAUCUUUCUCUUCUUGAGGAAUUUUUCCCUGAUGUUAUCGAGAUAGAUUGGAAAGAACAGGAUGGCAAAACAAUUCUGACGUCCCAACAGGGAAACACCAUGAAGACUAAGGACACAUACAUGAAAUACACCUGGCUGACCGUGGGUGAAGAGUCAAUGGGCAAAGAACACAAAUGUAUCGUUAAACACGAGAAGAAUAAAAGAAGGUUUGAACAAGAGAUUCUGUUUCCUUCAAUAAACAAAGGUGUGGUGGAGGCAAGAGGAUCCCAAGUAGACCCACAGGGGCAUUCGGAGACAAGGCGAAACACAGGGGUGGUCACUGUGAGCCCUUUGAGUUCACUGUCUUCCUCACCAGUUUCAAGGGCUGCAGAGCUCGCUGCUGUUAACUACACAAAAGCUUCUCUGAAAGAUGAAAAUGACCCCCGACAGGUGCAGCUCGUGAACACCUCUGCCUACUACACCUACCUCCUCCUUGUCAUCAAGAGCAUGGUCUACACCGUCAUCAUCGCCAUCUGUCUGCUUGGGAGACAAGCACUCUGUGACAAUGGGAAGAGUUCCUAACCCAUGGUGGCACCAAGGGUCCACUUUUCUCCAUUGGCUAUUGUCACUAGAAGAGUCUGCUGGAGAUAUAGCGGGGCUUUCUUUCUGCGUUUGGGUUAUUUCAGUUCGCAUGUUUCUUUUUCUAUGUGUCAUCAUUGCAGAACAGGUUUACAAACCGCUAGGCAGACAGGAAAUGUCACUCUGCAUGGAGAACAAUUUCUGCCAUGACUCAGGGAUGGGGCCGGGGGGCAUCCACGGGGGCUUCAGUACCUCUCUAUCCUUCACGUCCGCCAGCUCGUCAGCAGCACAGCACCCUCACCUCUGAGUACACUUGGUGUGCAGCUUCCAUAGAGCUCCUGGGGCUCUGUAUCCAGAUAACUUCCUGGAGGCCUUUUAUUUUACAUUUCUGGAAGCUGCCAUCUUUGCUACCUGAGUUUUGUUAUGUUUUUCAUAAUAGGCACAAUAAAAACAAUCACAAGUCU